GUCAGGACUCCGGGACUGUGCCCACGGCAGGCAACAACCCCCGGGGUCAUCCCGCCAGACUCUCGGCCAGCCCUGCUGUCUUGCCGGCCGCCGUGUCCGCACAGGAGCCAGGGUUGGCACUCGAUGAAUAAACGCCUUUCAAGAGAAGAAACGCAGGGAGCUGGGUGUGGUCACCGUGGCAGACCGUUGGGGGAGGCGGGGGGCUGGGCAGGGGACAGGGUGGCGCGUGUCCCAGGGGACCUGGCGGGGGAAGGUACGCCCAAUCAGGAGGCUCCGCGAUGUGACGUGGAUCCGUGUUUCCUCUUCUUCUUCCUGGUGGUUUACGUAAGAGGGAGAGCAAUGGGGACGGGCAGGGACGGAGCUGCGGGCUGAGGUUCCUCCGCUCGGCGAAGCCCCUUCUGUCUGCCCCCGCCUGCUCUGGGCUUUCUUGGCUAUGUCUGCUCCUGACAGAAGGGAUGUGUGUUGCCAGGGGUGGGGGCUUGGCGUGUGUGCGUGUGAGAAUAUGUGUGUGUGUUUAAAAUACAAAAAAAAAAAAAAGAAGCGUCCCUAUACUCAGCCGCAAGAUGCUGGCCAGCCUCCAUCCGUGCCAACUCCCCUCCGAGCUGGCACUGGGGACUCCGGAGGCACAGGGAGGAGGAAGGUGCGGGCAGCUUGCGGUGAGGAUGGACGCGUGCCACCGACGUAUGCCAGCGGCUGCAGGGGACCAAACGCCCAUCCACAAAACCCACCGCGAUCGCUGGCAGCCGUGGCGGGAAGCGGCAGCAGUUGGCAGAGGUGCCAGGGAGGGCCGGCUGGGGCAGGUGGAUCCUGGCAGCAGCAGCGCAGGCCUGAACACCGAGCAGGCACCUCACCCACUGAGGGGCUUCCGGGGUCCUGGCUGCCCACUGGGCUUCCAGCAACAGCUGCCCCUGCACAGGGCUGGUCUUUGUCAGGGGCGCAGCCUUGCUGGGCCACAGCAGAACAGGGGACCCUGCUGCCUGCCGCAGCCCUCCUCCCUCCACCUCCGAAUUUCACAGUCCCUGCUUCCCGCGCCGGCUCGGAGCUCCCUAGAGACUCCUGCCAGAUGUUCCUGGCGGCCCCACAUCGCUUCCCUAAUGAAAUAUUCAUGGGCCUUUCUGCCUCUUGACAUAAAGCCUUCUGCAGCUCCACGCACCAUGGAGAGGGAGCUGGCCUCCCAACAAACCCUAGGAAGGAGUGGGCGCCCGGCCAGCCCCUCCCCCUGCGCCAACCCCAGCCGCCCACUGUGCCUCCCGAGACAGUGGCUGGGCCUCCACCUCCCCUUUGCUCUGCUAAGGGUCAGGGGUCCAGCUGCUGCACCCUCCCCCAGCCCAGAGGCCUCCCUGCCGCCUCCGCCUCCCAAGAGCCCAGUGCCAGCUGUGCAGGCACAUCAGCCCUGGGGCUGGGCUCCGGAGGGAGGGCAGCCGCCACCCCACGUAGGAGGGAGCCAGCACCUGUGUGUCCAGGACCACCCUCACAGGCCCAGGGAGGAGGGGUUCUCCCUACCUCUUCCUUCAGUACCUUGGUGGCCAAGAACUCCUUACCCCAUGCCAACAAGACCGGGCUCCUGGAGUCCACCUUGCCCCUAGCUGUGUGGUGGCCAGCCUGGUCUUGCAGUCACCCGCUGUCAUCCGUCCACACCUCUGUCCGUGUGCUCACGCACGCGGUGUCGGCACCACGCCGAGUUCUGUGCGUGGAGAUCAGACUUCAUGACGUUGAGCAAAACCGGCCCAGCCUUGCACUCCAGAGACAGUCUCAGCCUCCACAUUUCGGGAGACAGAAGUUCAGAGAGGCCAUGUUGCUUCCCUGAGGCUGCAGAGCCAGAAAAGAAGCUGCCUGGGCGCGUCUAUCCCGGAGCCCCGGCAUCGUCACCAGGGCCACACAAGCAGCCAGGACCCUCCCGGGAACCAGCUCCCUGACUGGGACGCCCCAGCCCUCCUGAGCUCACUGACCAGGGAUCCGGCCAGUGCCCCUCCCCCAUGCGGGCAGUGGGCUGGGACGCGCGGCCGGGAGGGGGCUUGGGCCGCGUCGUCCCUCCGCCUCCCCAGGUCCCAGCCGUCUUGCUUCCUGAGCUGCUGGCGGGGUAAUAAGCUCUGCGUGUGGUGUGGAAAUAAAGCACGUUCCACAGAACAAAUGGUGUUAAUGUGCAGAAGCACUGCAGCCCGGAGUUACCCAGCGCCUGGAGGGCGGCGCGGCAGCUGCACCAGAAUGAACGCCUGCGUGCGGAGAAUCAGCGAGGCCAUACGUCCCCGUGGAGGGACAAAGCAUCCCAGCCCUGGCCCCCAGCAGCGCCGGCCCUCCAGGCGGGAGGCGGUUCCAGGAAGCGAAGCGAGCAGGGGUCACGCUCCAGGCCUUUCUCCAAGCCCUCCCCGCGCUGGGACGCAUUUACCCGCCUGCCUGUUGACUUCGGCUCGCACCCACUCCUGGGCUGCUCAGAGCUGCUGCUACCUGUUGAUGAGCACUGUAGGUGGCUUCGAGAUGCACGCCUCGGGACGAUCCGCCU